rnacentral:rRNA from 1 species
AGGAAUAUUGGUCAAUGGGCGUAAGCCUGAACCAGCCAAGUAGCGUGAGGGAAGACUGCCCUAUGGGUUGUAAACCUCUUUUGUGCGGGGAUAAAGUGUGGGACGUGUCCCAUAUUGCAGGUACCGCACGAAUAAGGACCGGCUAAUUCCGUGCCAGCAGCCGCGGUAAUACGGAAGGUCCGGGCGUUAUCCGGAUUUAUUGGGUUUAAAGGGAGCGCAGGCCGUCCUUUAAGCGUGCUGUGAAAUGCCGCGGCUCAACCGUGGCACUGCAGCGCGAACUGGAGGACUUGAGUACGCACGAGGUAGGCGGAAUUCGUGGUGUAGCGGUGAAAUGCUUAGAUAUCACGAAGAACUCCGAUUGCGAAGGCAGCUUACCGGAGCGCAACUGACGCUGAGGCUCGAAAGCGCGGGUAUCGAACAGGAUUAGAUACCCUGGUAGUCCGCGCGGUAAACGAUGGAUGCCCGCCGUUGGGUUUUAGAAUUCAGCGGCCAAGCGAAAGCGUUAAGCAUCCCACCUGGGGAGUACGCCGGCAACGGUGAAACUCAAAGGAAUUGACGGGGGCUCGCACAAGCGGAGGAACAUGUGGUUUAAUUCGAUGAUACGCGAGGAACCUUACCCGGGCUUGAAUUGCAGGAGAACGAUCCAGAGAUGGUGAGGCCCUUCGGGGCUCCUGUGAAGGUGCUGCAUGGUUGUCGUCAGCUCGUGCCGUGAGGUGUCGGCUCAAGUGCCAUAACGAGCGCAACCCCUGUCCAUAGUUGCCAUCAGGUCGUGCUGGGCACUCUGUGGAGACUGCCGCCGUAAGGUGUGAGGAAGGUGGGGAUGACGUCAAAUCAGCACGGCCCUUACGUCCGGGGCUACACACGUGUUACAAUGGGGCAUACAGCGAGUUGGAUGUGCGCAAGUACGUCCGGAUCAAUAAAGUGCCUCUCAGUUCGGACUGGGGUCUGCAACCCGACCCCACGAAGCUGGAUUCGCUAGUAAUCGCGCAUCAGCCAUGGCGCG